CAAAAAGAGUCCUCAGUGGGGAGGCAGCUGCUAUGAGAAUAAAAAAAUUUCUUUACCCUUCCACCAGGAACGAAAGGCAGGCUGAGGUGGUAGAUCUCCAUCUUUUAUUAACAAUAAACUGUUGAAGUGGCUCAAGUCACCACAUGCAGCUGUACUGUGGGGCUUCCAGGUUCUGUAGUGGUACUCACAUAAUGAGAGAUUGCAAACUGUGGCUAGUUAACCCCUGGUGAAGAAAGUAGAAAUUACUGCAGCUGAUGUAUGCAAGCUUACAUUACUGAGUUGCUAUCCUCACCUGUUCCUGUGGCAUUUUACAUUAAUUGAGGGAACAAGGAGAACAAUUCUUUAAGACCCAUUUUGUAAUGCAAAACUGAAAGAUGGAAGCCUAGAGCAAAUAAGAACAAAUUAUUGUUAAAGAGUACUGUGAAGUUAACAAUGUUCUAGCGGAUGUAGUUAUUGUAGGAAAUAAUUAAUUCUAUGGUAGAAAAAGCUUAACAUCUGUCCAUCACUGUGUAAUAUAUGCAGUCAUGUGAAAUGACACAUACCUUCAUAUGAAUUAAUUGAUCACUUCUGAAUCAACACAGAAUACUAAAAAGGCAGCUAAUUAUUCAGCACCUCCAUCUCAAGCUUCAGUUACAAGUCUCUGGUAGGUUUCUGGGACUGGAGGAAGUGUCCCAAUGCUUGGGUGUUAGCUCUGCCAUGAGACUUACAUCAUAGACCCUCCUUAUUUCUCAACUUUUUCCAUGCAAAAUUUGUUUAUUCCCAAGUUGGAGGAUGUUCUGCUAAAUACCAGCUGGACCAAAGAAGUGGAUCCAGACCAAAAUAAUUGAAAUGGGGUUAUUUUAUUUUUCAGUCAUGAUUACCAGUAUUGAGGGAUCUGCUGUUGCUGAUAUCUAUGCAGAUCUGUGGUCUUGGAUAAAUCUUAGUGAUGCUUGUGAUAUGUCCAGUUGGACAUACUCAUUUCUUUUAGACUUUGCAUUAAUUUUAUGUUUACUUUGGGGACAGUUGGUUAGUUCUAAAUGGUUAAUUAACAUAACAAGAAUAAACUCAGUAAGCAUGAAUGUAGGAUUACAAUUGCCAAAAUUUCUGUCUUCUGCAGAAUGAAUUGAAUUGUGCUUGGUAUUGACUGUUUAUUCAUUAUGUUGAGAUGACCUGAGAGGUACCAGCAAGUUGUCUGCGUAGAUCAAGCACGUAUAUGACAUUUGCACACUUUUUGUUUAUGCAGAAAUUUGGUCUUUGGUCUUUCUCAUGUUUGGAAGCGAGCUGUUCAAAGACAUUUACAUCUUUGAUAAUAACAUUAAUGAGAAUAAAGUAAAAUGAUGUUUUGAA